ACCAGUUGACGAGUCCUAAAUAGGAUGAAACGUGCGUCUUGCAU
rnacentral:hammerhead_ribozyme from 1 species